UGCGCUAGGUCUUAUUUUCAGGGGAUGUCUUAUUUUUCAGAAAUGAAAAAUGCCUUAUUAUCGGUGGAUGCCUUAUUAUCGGGGAGGUCUUAUUAUCGGGGGGAUGCCUUAUAUUACAACGAGAGGCAAAACUUACAGGUACAGGAUGAGAAGCAACAGAGCAAGCUGCCUUCAUAUCACCCCGUCAAUGUUCCUGGAAGAUCCACGUCUAAAGGGGUGUUUCUGUAAAGGGAAAAAAGAAGUUCAGGCUCCAUGGCCCAUUCACAUCUAGCCUUCCCUGCUGCAACUCCCAGCAAGGGAACCAAUUAGUGCCAAUUUGUUUUUUUAUGAUUCAAUGUAAGCAUGAAAUUCCUCUCUAUGUACAGUGGAACCCUCUUACAGUCAAUCACAUCUUUCAUACAGUGAUUUCAGUCUGAGAGCCACUGCGAUUAGAAUUGGAAUAGGCACAUCACAAUGCACUGAACAGUCUGAGACUUUUGUUCUACUUCAUAUCGGUGAAGUUACACUGUAUUAAAUGGAUUCCACUGUACAGAGUAGGUAUGUUAGAGAUGCCUUACAUGCGUGGAGAGAGAGAGAGAGAGGCAGAAUUUAAUUAGUACUCUAUACUCUAUUUUAAAUUUCCUCUUUGUUUCUGAAUGAUGGUGUUCUUGUCAUUUGCUAAGACUAUAAGCUCUUUGGGGCAGGUACCUUCUUUUCGUUACAGGAAUAUACAGUGCCUAGCACAAAGGGACCCUGCUGCUUUAUUAGGGCCUCCAGGCUUUACUGCAAUAUAAAUAAAUACUCCAUCUGAAA